rnacentral:SRP_RNA from 1 species
GCCGGGUGUGGUAGCGUGCACCUGUAAUCCCAGCUACUCGGGAGGCUGAGGCAGGAGAAUCGCUUGAACCCAGGAGAUGGAGGUUGCAGUGAGCUGAGAUCGUGCCACUGCAUCCCAGCCUGGGUGACAGAGUGAGACUUCAUCUCAA